ACGGAGGGUCCGAGCGUUAUCCGGAUUUAUUGGGUUUAAAGGGUGCGUAGGCGGUUUUAUAAGUCAGCGGUGAAAUUCUCCGGCUCAACCGGGGGACUGCCGUUGAUACUGUAAGGCUAGGAUAUGGUUGCUGUGGGUGGAAUGUGUGGUAUGGCAGCAAAAAGCGUAGAGAUUGCAGAGGAUAUAAGAUGGGAAGGCGACCAAACAGGCUUAAAAUCACGUUGAGGCCCGAAAGUGUGUCGAUCAAACAG
rnacentral:rRNA from 1 species